rnacentral:rRNA from 1 species
CCAGAGAACUUAGCAGAGAUGCUUUGGUGCCUUCGGGAACUCUGAGACAGGUGCUGCAUGGCUGUCGUCAGCUCGUGUUGUGAAAUGUUGGGUUAAGUCCCGCAACGAGCGCAACCCUUAUCCUUUGUUGCCAGCGGCUCGGCCGGGAACUCAAAGGAGACUGCCGGUGAUAAACCGGAGGAAGGUGGGGAUGACGUCAAGUCAUCAUGGCCCUUACGGCCAGGGCUACACACGUGCUACAAUGACGCAUACAAAGAGAAGCGACCUCGCGAGAGCAAGCGGACCUCAUAAAGUGCGUCGUAGUCCGGAUUGGAGUCUGCAACUCGACUCCAUGAAGUCGGAAUCGCUAGUAAUCGUAGAUCAGAAUGCUACGGUGAAUACGUUCCCGGGCCUUGUACACACCGCCCGUCACACCAUGGGAGUGGGUUGCAAAAGAAGUAGGUAGCUUAACCUUCGGGAGGGCGCUUACCACUUUGUGAUUCAUGACUGGGGUGAAGUCGUAACAAGGUAGGCGUAGCGAG